rnacentral:rRNA from 1 species
GCUUAUGGCCAUACCACCCUGAGAACGCCCGAUCUCGUCUGAUCUCGGAAGCUAAGCAGGGUCGGGCCUGGUUAGUACUUGGAUGGGAGACCGCCUGGGAAUACCAGGUGUUGUAAGCU